rnacentral:sRNA from 1 species
UAGGGUGAAUCGAAGAAACGAGAGAGAGAGAGAGGCGGAAGACAAAUGAAUUAGGGUUCUUCAUUCUCGUUCUUCAUCACUCGCUAAUCAACACAAAAAUUGGGCU